CCUACGGGGGGCAGCAGUGGGGAAUAUUGCACAAUGGGGGGAACCCUGAUGCAGCGACGCCGCGUGAGUGAAGAAGUAUUUCGGUAUGUAAAGCUCUAUCAGCAGGGAAGAAAAUGACGGUACCUGACUAAGAAGCCCCGGCUAACUACGUGCCAGCAGCCGCGGUAAUACGUAGGGGGCAAGCGUUAUCCGGAUUUACUGGGUGUAAAGGGAGCGUAGACGGCAGAGCAAGUCUGAAGUGAAAGCCCGCGGCCCAACUGCGGGACUGCUUUGGAAACUGCCCGGCUAGAGUGCUGGAGAGGUAAGCGGAAUUCCUAGUGUAGCGGUGGAAUGCGUAGAUAUAUGGAAGAACACCAGUGGCGAAGGCGGCUGUCUGGUCUGCAACUGACGCUGAGGCUCGAAAGCAUGGGUAGCGAACAGGAUUAGAUACCCCUGUAGUC
rnacentral:rRNA from 1 species